AUGCUGCUGGGCAGCGACAGAGCCUUCUGUGACCUGUGCGCACCAGGACAGAUAAGCAAUGCACUGCACAUAAUCACGUGGAACUCCAUUUUUAGCAGCUUAACUUAGCAUCUCAGGGCUGAUGUGUUCUCUCCCUGGCAGGCACGGUUGGAGCUGCUGUCCGGACCCCAAGUGCUUUAGACCCUGAUCUGGAAGCUGCAAGGAUAUAAGCUGGAGGAUUUAAACUCCCAGGAUCAAGAGGAGCUUUGGGGUGUUGCCAGACAGGAGAUUUUCCUCAGCAGCAAUGAGAUGGAGCCUCGACUGAAAACUGAAGCAUCAGGACUUGAGAACAUGUCUGUGACAUGAAGGGCAGCAAGCCACAUGCGAGACUCGGUGGUCUCCAGCAUGAAAUGGAUGAACAGCCUGGAAGCAUGGACAGGAGUCUUUGGUCCAUCUAUUCCAAUUUCUGAUGCAAAGCAGGACAAAGGACACCAAUGUCACAUGUGGGUAAAAGAUGUUUAAAGACAUCUUCAGUGUCUGGCUGAGAACUUGCACAUGAUUGCAGGUGAGCCCUGCGCCCUAGGUCUUUCCAACCCUUCUGUUCUCCCAGCAAGGUUCGACUGAACUAGCAGUUCUACCAUAUGGCCGUGACCCUUAAAAAUAUCAGUUAACUACAUUUCUUCCUACCCUGGUGAUUUCUAUUUCCUCUUGCACUUUGCCCAGACGCAGUCUGCUCUCGAAGCUGGAAAUGCUGCCUCUCCCCAUCUGUUGUGACACUUGUCCAGCUUGAUCAUGAUGGCUUUACCAUCACUCCUAGCAUUAAUCACCAUGUGCAGCAGCUUGCCAGAUGUUUCCAGGAGCCUGUCCCUGCACCAUCCAGGUGUAUUUCCAAUGAGACAGUACCUCCACCGUGUUCUGCAUUAAUUCUGACCUCUCCUCAUGAAAGGAGCUUUCUUCCCUGCAGCCAGAGUACUUGACCUACUUGGUCAUCACCUGUGAGUUCUGGGGCACCCUGUGUCACAGAACUGAGACACAGCAACCAUAAAUGUAUGAAGAGCAUGGCCAAAGGUAAAGGCUUAGGAUAAAAGUCAAGCUUCCAGAUCAAUCUGAGAAACAAGAACGCCUUUCAUCGCAGCUUUGUCCUCUCCUAACUCCUGAGUAAGAAACACGAUAAAUAAAAUAAUACAACAGGUUAGCUGGAAUCCAAAGGUGUUCUGGUGAAGGCUGUCAGCAUUGCAUUUAGGUCCAUCCAAGGAAUCCUGAUAUGGGGAAAGAUAACUCACACCACGAGUCAUGUGGGAUGAGUGACAAAUGCUUCCAGCAGAAGGGUGCUGGGUGGAAAAUACAGGGCCUUGACUGACUCGACAGACAGGUCAGGCUCUCUCAGUGAUACGAUCUAAAAGAGAUAGGAUCCAGGAAUCAGUGAAGGGAGGGUGCAGGUUCACUAAACACAAGGAAGAAGAUGUGGGCUACUUAGUGGUUAGGUUUCCUGAACCCACUGAAGCAAGUAAAGCACCAUCCCACCCUCAUGUGGUCAGGUGCAAGGAAAGUGAUGCUCCCCACCCUCCUCUCUGUGGGAACAUCUGCUAGUAUUCAUCAAGAAAUUCAGUGGGCCUGGUCAGAAUCCUAGAAUGGGUAAGGGUGGAAGGGACUACCAGGGGAGUAAUCUGGUCUCAACCCCUCUCCUCAAGCAGGGUUGUCCCAGACCACAUGGGACAGGAUUGCCCCCAGACAGUUCUGGAAUAUCUGCAGUGGGGGAGACUCCACAACCUCUCUGGGCAAUCUGCUGCAGUGCUCAGACACCUGCACAGUACAGAAGUUCUUCCUUUGUUCACAUGGAAUUUCUUGCGUUCCAGUUUCUGCCCGUUGUCUCACGUCUUCUUGGCACCACCAAGAACAGGAGCCUGGCUCCUUCCUCUGACACCCAGCCUACAGAUACUUAUGGACAAUGAUGAGGUCCCCUCUCAGACAUCUCUUACCCAGCCUGAACAGGCCCAGCUCCCUCAGCCUUUCCUCAUGAGGCGCUUCCUCACCUAAUGAUCUUCAUUCCCCUUUGCUAGACCUACUCUAGGAGCUCCAUGUCUCUCUUGGAUGGAGGAGCCCAGAACGGGACACAGCACUGCAGAUUCCCCUCACCAGGGCUGAGUGGAGCGUCACCUCCCUUGCGCAGCUGGCAAUGCUCUUUCUAAUGCAUCCCAGGAUUCCAGGACACACGGCUGGCUCACAGAGAGCUUCUUGUCCACCAGAUCCCCAGGUCCUUCUCUGAAGAGCUGCUCACCAGCAGGUCAGCCCCCAGCCUGUGCUGGUACACGGGGUUAUUUUUCCACACAUAUAGGGCGCUGCAUUUGCCUAUGCUGAAUUUCAGAAGGUUCCUCUCUGUCCAUCUCUCCAACCAGUCCCUCUGCAGGGCUGCACAACACUCUGGAGUACUGGCCACUCCUUCCAGCUUGGUGUCAUCAAUGAACAUGAUGAGAAAGCAUCUACCCUUCAUCCAAGUCUUUGAUGAGUAAGUUAAACAAGGAUGGGCCUGGUACUGAACCUUGUGGGACACCAUUAGUGACAGGCCUUCAGUUAGACCCUGUGCCACUGUGACCCUCUGGGAUCUGCUGUUCAGCAAGUUCCCAAUCCACCUCACUGUCCACUCAUCCAGUCCUCACUUCCUAAGUUUGUCAAUGAGGAUCUUGUGAGAGACAGUGUAGAAAGCCUUGCUGAAGUUGAGGCAGACUCGAAUACCCCCUGCUCUGCUCUCCAUCCAUCCAGGCAGUUGUCUUGUGGUAGAAGGCAAUCAUGUUGGUCAAGCAUAAUUUGCCUCUAGUGAAGUCAAGCCGACUCUCCUGCUCACCUUCCUGUAUUCCACAUGCUUAGAGACAACCUCCAGAAUGAGGUGCUCCAUCACCUUGUUGGGAUUGAGGUGAGGCUGACUGGUUUCUUGGGUGCUCCUUCUUGGCCUCUUUGAAGAGUGGGGUGACAUUUGCUUCUUCCAGGCCUCAGGUCCCUCUCCUGCCAUCAGACCUUCAAAGAUGACUGCUAUGGUGUUCACCAGCUCCUGAGCACUGUGGAUGCAUCCCUACAAGGGCCAUGGAUUUGUGGAUAUCCCAUUUCCCUAGGUGAUCUCUAACCCAAUUCUCCCUGCCCAAGGGAGAAUCUUCCUUCCAACAUUCCUGAAGGGUAAUAAGCUGAUGAACCAGUCUGGCUAAAUAUUCAGUGGGAAGACCUUCUUGCCCAGUCCAGAGACACAAUCCUAAAAAGAUGGUCUAGGACAGAUGUUCAAGGGGUCAGCACUCAGCAGCCACAGUGCUGAGCUGAAUGCUGGCAGAGGGACUGCCCAGAUGCCUCCUGCCAUGGAGCCCCAUUCACUCUGUGCUCAGACUGUUCUUGGGCAUUAAACAUUCACAUUAAUGCACGGACACUGAGCCAGACAGGACUUGAUACUGCUUCCUGAGCAGGCACUGCCGAGAGGUGUCCUGGAAAAGAGGUGACAUUGGGGACUCAGGAAGCAGCACUGCACUGAGUAGUUCCUGGACAUCACAGUUUCCAGCAGGGCACAUGGUGGAGAAAAGCAGGCUUCAUACUCCUCAAAGAAUGAAAAGGAGCCCAGAACUCAGUAGAUGGAGGGACCACAUCUCAUUUCAGCAUUAAAGAUGUGGGGUCACCACAGCUGGACAGGUGCCCAGCUAACACUGGGGCCUUGACCUGUGCUUCCCACACUGAGGAAUUGAUGAGGCAAAGGAUCCUUGCUGCAUAUCCUGCCAGAGAGAUCUUGGAGGCUGUCAGACUGGUGGGGGAACAGAGCCUCUUGCUGGUGAUACAGUUCACCAGGGAACAGCAUCCUGCACACAUGGGUGGUGGAGAUUUUGGUUUCACUGCAGAUGGAGUCCUGGCAGGCAGUGUGGGACCAGGGUCACCACGUGUGCUGGGACAUGGGUGUCUGGCACCUGCUGCUCCUCUGGGCAAUGACUGCUUGAGGCAGAGAUGUCAUCCUUCUUUGCUUCAUUCCUGAAAUCUCUCAGGGCAUGUACUCUGCAGUCUUCUGGGUUCCUGAAGCAGUACCAAGGCAAAGGUAUGCACGUCCCGGAUUAUGCAUGGGGGAAGCCAGAAGUUGUCGGCCACUCACAGAACUCUCCACAGGAGAGAAAGAGCAGAAAACACUGCAAAGAUGCCUACAGGAAAGGGGACUUGCAUGAAACUGAAGAGCCUCCAGACAGGAUAGGAAGUGAUCCCUGAUCUACUGUGUGUAUGAGGCAUCAUCACUUGAAAGCAGAAAACUGAAAUAGUAAAAUAUUUCCUUGGGCUUUAGAUCUUUUAGGUAGAAAAAUAAAGAGGGAAAAGGGAAAGAAAUGGAAACAGUUAACAAGGUGGCAUAGAGGUGAGGGCCAUGGCAGGCACUGAGGCACGCACCUCCCAUCUACCCACACACCCACAGGCAGCCAGGGCUUCUGCUGCUUCCCAGUGCCCUGCUGCUCCUGUGAAACACUUUUCCAGCUUCCUGCAAGAUAAGAUGGCAGUCAGGAGCUGCAGCAGACCACAGGCCGAGGAACUGCCAUUCCCCAGCACCAGCAGGGCUCCACCUGCGCCCUGAUUUCCCGUUUCCUGCUCAAUUCUUCUGCCAUUUGCAGGGACUCGCCUCCCUGCCUGCUCUAGGCAGCUCAGCCCCCGCUGGAAUGCCAACACAUGCCUUAACACAUGGGGCAGGCACGGGCAGAGCAGCUCACCCUGCCCAACACGGACACUGUGCUGUGGUGCAUGGAUGCCACAGCACUCGCAGCUCAAGCACCCAGCAGCAUCAGCCACUCAGCCACUUCUACAGAGAGAAACUCCUGCAUCCCUCAGCCCCCAUUUUAUCUUCCAUACAUAAUCCUAGAGAUGAUCCAAAAACUCUACUGCCAUGUGCUUUCUCCUCCCUUCAGUACCUUUAGUGGGAAGCGUUUUUUCUCCAGAACUUCACCUGCCUUGGCUGUGCAGGCUGUGUCCACUUCUCAGUGAUCACACUGCAUCACGCUGCGUCUCUGGAGGCUGCUCGCUCCCUCCUGACACCCUGCCAGGCCCCAGCCUCCUGUCCCCAUCACUGGAGGAGCCAGCCAGGAAAAUGCCACAGGAAAUGGUGUGACAGGGGAUCCCCACUGCGGUUACACUGAGGUGGGAUAUGGGACUGAGGGCAGGCAGGAAGGUGCUCUGGGAUGCCCUGGUGUGGCAGAAGAGGCCAGGAAACAGGAAGAGGUUCACAAGCCAGGAUCAGUUCCAUUUUCAAUCCUUCAGCCUCUGCAUUGAUGAUGCUCCAGGUUAAAAACAAGGCACCCCAUGCAGCACCAGGGCCUGUUGAGGGCCAGUGGCUCUCAGAACAGGGAUUUCACCACUGUCCCAUCCACCAUGGGGAGA